GUCUAUGGCCAUGCUACCCUGAACAAGCCCAAUCCCAUCUGAUCUUGGAAGCUAAGCAGGGUUGGGCCUGAUUAGUACUUGGAUGGGAGACCACGCUAUAGGCG
rnacentral:rRNA from 1 species